UACGUAGGGUGCAAGCGUUGUCCGGAAUUAUUGGGCGUAAAGAGCUCGUAGGCGGUUCGUCGCGUCGGCUGUGAAAACCUGAGGCUCAACCUCAGGCCUGCAGUCGAUACGGGCGGACUUGAGUACUGCAGGGGGAGACUGGAAUUCCUGGUGUAGCGGUGAAAUGCGCAGAUAUCAGGAGGAACACCGGUGGCGAAGGCGGGGUCUCUGGGCAGUAACUGACGCUGAGGAGCGAAAGCGUGGGGAGCGAACAGG
rnacentral:rRNA from 1 species